rnacentral:rRNA from 1 species
AAGGAUGUGGAGUUGCAUAGACAACUAGGAUGUUGGCUCAGAAGCAGCCACCAUUUAAAGAGUGCGUAAUAGCUCACUAGUCGAGUGAUUCUGCGCCGAAAAUGUACCGGGGCUUAAACAUAUUACCGAGACUGUGGAUGCCACCAUUAGGUGGCGUGAUAGGAGAGCGUUCUAAGGGCAAUGAAGGCAGACCGUGAGGACUGUUGGAGCGCUUAGAAGUGAGAAUGCCGGUAUGAGUAGCGAAAGAUAGGUGAGAAUCCUAUCCACCGUAUGACUAAGGUUUCCUGGGGAAGGCUCGUCCUCCCAGGGUUAGUCGGGACCUAAGCCGAGGCCGAGAGGCGUAGGCGAUGGAUAACAGGUUGAUAUUCCUGUACUAGUUAAACUUGUUUGAACAAUGGAGGGACGCAGUAGGCUAAGGAAAGCACCCAGCUGGAAAAGGGUGUCCAAGCAGUAAGUCUGAAGUAGAGUCAAAUGCUUUACUUCUUAAGGACAAGCUGUGAUGGGGAGCGAAAUUUAAGUAGCGAAGUUCCUGACGUCACACUGCCGAGAAAAGCUUCUAGUUAGAGUUUAGCUACCCGUACCGCAAACCGACACAGGUAGUCGAGGAGAGUAUCCUAAGGUGAGCGAGAGAACUCUCGUUAAGGAACUCGGCAAAAUGACCCCGUAACUUCGGGAGAAGGGGUGCUGAUCGCAAGAUCAGCCGCAGUGAAAAGGCCCAGGCGACUGUUUAUCAAAAACACAGGUUUCUGCAAAAUCGUAAGAUGACGUAUAGGGGCUGACGCCUGCCCGGUGCUGGAAGGUUAAGGGAAUGAGUUAGCGUAAGCGAAGCUCUGAACUGAAGCCCCAGUAAACGGCGGCCGUAACUAUAACGGUCCUAAGGUAGCGAAAUUCCUUGUCGGGUAAGUUCCGACCCGCACGAAAGGCGUAACGAUCUGGGCACUGUCUCAACGAGAGACUCGGUGAAAUUAUAAUACCCGUGAAGAUGCGGGUUACCCGCGACAGGACGGAAAGACCCCAUGGAGCUUUACUGUAACUUGAUAUUGAGUGUUUGUACAGCUUGUACAGGAUAGGUAGGAGCCGUAGAAUCCGGAACGCUAGUUUCGGAGGAGGCAAUGGUGGGAUACUACCCUCGUUGUAUGAACCCUCUAACCCGCGCCACUAAUCGUGGCGGGAGACAGUGUCUGGUGGGCAGUUUGACUGGGGCGGUCGCCUCCUAAAGAGUAACGGAGGCGCCCAAAGGUUCCCUCAGAAUGGUUGGAAAUCAUUCGUAGAGUGUAAAGGCAGAAGGGAGCUUGACUGCGAGACAGACAGGUCGAGCAGGGACGAAAGUCGGGCUUAGUGAUCCGGUGGUACCGUAUGGAAGGGCCAUCGCUCAACGGAUAAAAGCUACCCUGGGGAUAACAGGCUUAUCUCCCCCAAGAGUUCACAUCGACGGGGAGGUUUGGCACCUCGAUGUCGGCUCAUCGCAUCCUGGGGCUGUAGUCGGUCCCAAGGGUUGGGCUGUUCGCCCAUUAAAGCGGUACGCGAGCUGGGUUCAGAACGUCGUGAGACAGUUCGGUCCCUAUCCGUCGCGGGCGUAGGAAAUUUGAGAGGCGCUGUCCUUAGUACGAGAGGACCGGGAUGGACACACCGCUGGUGUACCAGUUGUUCCGCCAGGAGCAUCGCUGGGUAGCUAUGUGUGGAUGAGAUAAACGCUGAAAGCAUCUAAGUGUGAAACUCACCUCGAGAUUAGAUUUCCCAUUGCCUUCGGGCAAGUAAGACCCCUGAAAGAUGAUCAGGUAGAUAGGCUAGAAGUGGAAGUGUAGUGAUACAUGGAGCGGACUAGUACUAAUCGGUCGAGGACUUAACCAA